rnacentral:rRNA from 1 species
UAAGCAUAUCAAUAAGCGGAGGAAAAGAAACCAACAGGGAUUGCCCUAGUAACGGCGAGUGAAGCGGCAAUAGCUCAAAUUUGAAAUCUGGCUUCCUUGGAAGUCCGAGUUGUAAUUUGCAGAGGGCGCUUUGGCGUCGGUAGCGGUCUAAGUUCCUUGGAACAGGACGUCACAGAGGGUGAGAAUCCCGUACGUGGUCGACUACCUUCACCGUGUAAAGCCCCUUCGACGAGUCGAGUUGUUUGGGAAUGCAGCUCUAAAUGGGAGGUAAAUUUCUUCUAAAGCUAAAUACUGGCCAGAGACCGAUAGCGCACAAGUAGAGUGAUCGAAAGAUGAAAAGCACUUUGGAAAGAGAGUCAAACAGCACGUGAAAUUGUUGAAAGGGAAGCGCUUGCCGCCAGACGUGCCCGUGGUGGUUCUCCUCCGCGGGCAGGCCAGCAUCAGUUUGGGCGAUCGGAUAAAGGCCUCUGUCAUGUAUCUCCCUUCGGGGUGACCUUAUAGGGGAGGCGUAAUGCGAUCAGCCCGGACUGAGGUCCGCGCAUCUGCUAGGAUGCUGGCGUAAUGGCUGUAAGCGGCCCGUCUUGAAACACGGACCAAGGAGUCUAACAUCUAUGCGAGUGUUUGGGUGUCAAGCCCGAGCGCGUAAUGAAAGUGAACGGAGGUGGGAACCCUUUGGGUGCACCAUCGACCGAUCCUGAAGUCUUCGGAUGGAUUUGAGUAAGAGCAUGGCUGUUGGGACCCGAAAGAUGGUGAACUAUGCUUGAAUAGGGUGAAGCCAGAGGAAACUCUGGUGGAGGCUCGCAGCGGUUCUGACGUGCAAAUCGAUCGUCAAAUUUGGGCAUAGGGGCGAAAGACUAAUCGAACUAUCUAGUA